GUUAAAUGUGUCCUUUAAAUGAAAUGAAAUGAAAUGAAAUGAAAUGAAAUGAAAUGAAAUUAAUUUAAUUUAUUUUAUUUUUUUAAGUAAUUAUUUAAUCUGACAGGUUUAACACGGGCGCGCGCGCGCGCUCAGAUAGCGGAAGAUGACCGCCUUUAAGAUGACCGCUCCGGAAACAACCGAACGUGGCCGAAAAGUCCCGAGGGAGGAAGCGUGAAAGUGAGCGUCUGCAGCUCUGAGAGCAGCGCUUCUUGACGGAGGAGCCUUCACCCGCAGUGCUCCCGGGAGCUCCGCUUCUCCAGGACUCCUGGAUUCAUCUCCGUUCUUCCGGUGGACGCCUUCAGAGGGUCACAGGUGUUACACGGAGGUCUGGAAAUUCAGGAACUCUCUGUGCUUGUCAGGGAAACUGAAUCCCUCACAAACUUGACUCUCGAGUCAUCAGGGUCGACAUUUUUCAUAACAAACCAGUUCCAUCCAGAUCUGAAGGUCCUCUUGGCUGCUAUUAUUAAGUUUGUUGAUGGAAACAUGUGACCGAGAGACAAAUAAGUUAAAAAAAAGAAAGAUUACUGUAUUGACUGUGUAUUUCUGCAGCCUUGGGGAGAAUCUUUGAGGCCUUCAUGCCAAAAAAAUGUUUUGUUGCAAUAAAAACUCCAAGAGAGAAGACAGAUCAUUGUCAAGUCCCAGAAUGCUUUGCAAUCAGAACAUUGUAAAUGAAGUAAAAGCUGUUGUUUUUUUAUU
rnacentral:lncRNA from 1 species